AUUGAACGCUGGCGGCAGGCCUAACACAUGCAAGUCGAACGAGUGGCGGACGGGUGAGUAAUGUCUGGGAAACUGCCUGAUGGAGGGGGAUACCUACUGGAAACGGUAGCUAAUACCGCAUACCAUCAGAUGUGCCCAGAUGGGAUUAGCUAGUUGGGGGGGUAACGGCUACCCAAGGCGACGAUCCCUAGCUGGUCUGAGAGGAUGCCCAGCCACACUGGAACGGAGACACGGUCCAGACUCCUACGGUAGGCAGCAGGGGGGAAUAUUGCACAAGGGGCGCAAGCCUGAUGCAGCCAUGCCGCGUGGAUGAAGAAGGCCUUCGGGUUGUAAAGUACUUUCAGCGGGGAGGCGUUACCCGCAGAAGAAGCACCGGCUAACUCCGUGCCAGCAGCCGCGGUAAUUC
rnacentral:rRNA from 1 species